rnacentral:rRNA from 1 species
AUUGAACGCUGGCGGCAGGCCUAACACAUGCAAGUCGAGCGGAGCGGCGGACGGGUGAGUAAUGCCUAGGAAUCUGCCUGGUAGUGGGGGAGAACGUCCGGAAACGGGCGCUAAUACCGCAUACUAUCAGAUGAGCCUAGGUCGGAUUAGGUAGUUGGUGGGGUAAAGGCCUACCAAGGCGAUGAUCCGUAUCUGGUCUGAGAGUAUGAUCAGUCACACUGGAACGGAGACCCGGUCCAGACUCCUACGUGAGGCAGCAGUGGGGAAUAUUGGACAAUGGGCGAACGCCUGAUCCAGCCAGGCCGCGUGUGUGAAGAAGGUCUUCGGAUUGUAACGCACUUUUAGUUGGGAGGCGUUUCCUACAGAAUAAGCACCGGCUAACUUCGUGCCAGCAGCCGCGGUAAUAC